rnacentral:rRNA from 1 species
ACACUCCUACGGGAGGCAGCAGUGGGGAAUUUUGGACAAUGGGCGAAAGCCUGAUCCAGCAAAGCCGAGUGAGUGAAGAAGGCCUUCGGGUUGUAAAGCUCUUUUGUCAGGGAAGAAACGGUGAGAGCUAAUAUCUUUUGCUAAUGACGGUACCUGAAGAAUAAGCACCGGCUAACUACGUGCCGGCAGCCGCGGUAAUACGUAGGGUGCAAGCGUUAAUCGGAAUUACUGGGCGUAAAGCGUGCGCAGGCGGUUUUGUAAGUCUGAUGUGAAAUCCCCGGGCUCAACCUGGGAAUUGCAUUGGAGACUGCAAGGCUAGAAUCUGGCAGAGGGGGGUAGAAUUCCACGUGUAGCAGUGAAAUGCGUAGAUAUGUGGAGGAACACCGAUGGCGAAGGCAGCCCCCUGGGUCAAGAUUGACGCUCAUGCACGAAAGCGUGGGGAGCAAACAGGAUUAGAAACCCGAGUAGUCCCA